rnacentral:lncRNA from 10 species
ACAUAGAGCAUUGUCGAUUAACACUGGAACGAAGGAAGAGACCAGGAGCUGGAGGAUAACUGACUGGGUGACGCCCAACGGCCAGGCCCUCGGGGCCUGGACAUUUCUAUAGGGGGCUGCCCCGUGUCAUAUGUGAGGCUGAAAAAAAUGGCUGAAAAAAAAGUCUUCCGAUUCAUCUGCAGUUCAUUAGUGUGAUGAUUGGGUGUUCACGCACAUGCGUGAUAUGUGCCACCCUCAAACUUUGUUACAAUGGUCGGCACAUUGUCUGAUGUGAAAAAAAAAAAAAGUCUUUCUUUUGUUUUCAGACAGGGUCUUGCUCUGUACUGGAGUGCAGUGGCGUGAUCUUGACUCAAUGCAGCUUCAACUUCCCUGGCUCAAGUGAUUCUCCCACCUCAGCCUCCCAAGUAGCUGAGGCUACAGGUGCAUACCAUGCCUGGCUAAUUUUUUUUUUCUUUUUAGAGUCAAGGUUUUACUUUGUUGCCCAGGCUGGUCUUAAACUUCUGGGCUCAAGCAAUCCCCCUGCUUCGGCUUCCCAAAGUGCUGGGAUUACAGGAGUGAGCCACCCUUUAACACUCUAAAAUCAUAAUAUCUAUCUACCUACCUACAUCUAUCUAUCUAUCUACCUACAUCUACCUACCUACCUACAUCUAUCUCCCUAUCUACCUACGUACCUACAUCUAUCUACCUACCUACAUCUACCUACCUACCUAACUACAUCUACCUACAUCUAUCUCUCUACCUACCUACCUAUCUACAUCUACCUACCUACCUACAUCUAUCUACCUACCUACCUACCU